rnacentral:pre_miRNA from 1 species
AAUUUCAACUGAAAAAGUCAUCAACAACAAAAUUGUAUAACUCAUCAAGAUCUAUAACUUCUAUUUUGAUCAUUUCUUUAUCCGACAAAAUGAUUUGUAACAUUGUUCACAAAAUGUACAUAGAGAGAUAUGUAAAUUUUAAAAAUAUGUUACGAUCACUUUAUCGGAUGAAGAAAUGAUCAAAAUAGAAGUUAUAGAUCUUGAUGAGUUAUACAACUUUAUUGUUGAUGACUUUUUCAGCUGAAAUC